UAAUACGGAGGGUGCAAGCGUUGUUCGGAAUUACUGGGCGUAAAGCGCGUGUAGGCGGCCUCUUAAGUCUGGUGUGAAAGCCCGGGGCUUACCCCCGGAAGGGCACUGGAGACUGGGAGGCUUGAGUACCGGAGAGGAAGGUGGAAUUCCUGGUGUAGCGGUGAAAUGCGUAGAUAUCAGGAGGAACACCGGUGGCGAAGGCGGCCUUCUGGACGGCUACUGACGCUGAGACGCGAAAGCGUGGGGAGCAAACAGGAUUAGAUACCCUGGUAGUCCACGCUGUAAACGAUGGGCACUAGGUGUUCGGGGUAUUGACCCCCUGAGUGCCGAAGCUAACGCAUUAAGUGCCCCGCCUGGGGAGUACGGCCGCAAGGUUA
rnacentral:rRNA from 1 species